AGCAGUUGCCAUUAAAGCAUUGACAUGAAGUAGAAACAAUCUCAAUAUCUUUUAACGUGACCUGAUGUGCAGCAUGUACCUGGAUCUAAAGAAACUAUUGUUUCUAUCUAUGGUCAAUAUCGGAAUAUCAGCACAAGAUGAUCAGACCAACCUGGGUCAACACUUUCUGUUCAGUGUGCCUUUGACCCCAAUAUGGACAAGGAAGGCCACGGCGAGUCUGUUCACUCUCUCCAAUGACACCGUGGACAUUGAGAUGGAAGUUCUCUUUGUGAAUGUCUCAGUUCAACGGAUGAAGAAGGGAAACUUUAGCGUGGUCAGGAAUCAAUCGACAGACAUAGCACUACCCAUCAAUAGGUAAACAAUAACUACAUCACGCUACCCAUCAAUAGGUAAACAAUAACUAUUUCACACUACCCAUCAAUAGGUAAACAAUAACUAUUUCACACUACCUAUCAAUAGGUAAACA
rnacentral:sRNA from 1 species